GGAGGAAAGCAGGGGAUCGCAAGACCUUGCGCUUUUGGAGUGGCCGAUGCCUGAUUAGCUAGUUGGUGGGGUAAUGGCCUACCAAGGCGACGAUCAGUAGUUGGUCUGAGAGGACGACCAGCCACACUGGGACUGAGACACGGCCCAGACUCCUACGGGAGGCAGCAGUGGGGAAUUUUGGACAAUGGGCGAAAGCCUGAUCCAGCAAUGCCGCGUGAGUGAAGAAGGCCUUCGGGUUGUAAAGCUCUUUCAGUCGAGAAGAAAAGGUUGUGACUAAUAAUCACAACUCAUGACGGUAUCGACAGAAGAAGCACCGGCUAACUACGUGCCAGCAGCCGCGGUAAUACGUAGGGUGCGAGCGUUAAUCGGAAUUACUGGGCGUAAAGGGUGCGCAGGCGGCCUUGUAAGUCAGAUGUGAAAUCCCCGGGCUUAACCUGGGAAC
rnacentral:rRNA from 1 species